GUCUAUGGCCAUACCACCCUAAAUGUGCCUGGUUUUGUCUGAUCUCCUAAGCUAUGCAGGGUUUCGCCUGGUUAGUACUUGGAUAGGAGAAGUUCUAGGGAGUAGCAGAUC
rnacentral:rRNA from 1 species